rnacentral:tmRNA from 1 species
GGGGGCGACAGGCUUCGACGGGUCUAGUGAAGCUUCCGUUGCGUGCCCAGGUUCUCAGUUACCUGGUUAAACAACUGGGAAACAAACACAACUGCCAAUACUGACUUGGCUCUGGCUGCGUAAGCUAACGCUUGUGCACCUGCCCACGUGGCAGCCCGCCUGAGGCGGUGCGUGGGUAUCGCAAAAUCGGGCUGGCUCUCGGUUACGCUCCUGAUCCGAGGGUAAGAUAUCAAGGAGCUUAUCCGGCGGUUGGAUGGCUGCGUGCCAGCCGCCGGUGAAAUCAAAGCGCAGCCUACGCACGUAGAGACGGAUUUGGAUCGAGGUUCGGACCGGGGUUCGAUUCCCCGCGCCUCCAUCA